CAGUAGCCGCGGGAAUACGAAGGGGGCUAGCGUUGUUCGGAUUAACUGGGCGUAAAGGGCGCGUAGGCGGGUUUUUAAGUCAGAGGUGAAAUCCCAAGGCUCAACCUUGGAACUGCCUUUGAUACUGGAAGUCUUGAGUCCGGGAGAGGUGAGUGGAACUGCGAGUGUAGAGGUGAAAUUCGUAGAUAUUCGCAAGAACACCAGUGGCGAAGGCGGCUCACUGGCCCGGUACUGACGCUGAGGCGCGAAAGCGUGGGGAGCAAACAGGAUUAGAUACCCCGGUAGUCCCUGUCUCUUAUAA
rnacentral:rRNA from 1 species